CCUACGGGAGGCUGCAGUGAGGAAUAUUGGUCAAUGGGCGCGAGCCUGAACCAGCCAAGUCGCGUGAGGGAAGACGGUCCUAUGGAUUGUAAACCUCUUUUAUAAAGGAAUAAAACGAGGCACGUGUGCCUUUUUGCAUGUACUUUAUGAAUAAGGAUCGGCUAACUCCGUGCCAGCAGCCGCGGUAAUACGGAGGAUCCGAGCAUUAUCCGGAUUUAUUGGGUUUAAAGGGAGCGUAGAUGGGUUGUUAAGUCAGUUGUGAAAGUUUGCAGCUCAACCGUAAAAUUGCAAUUGAUACUGGCAGUCUUGAGUACAGUUGAGGUAGGCGGAAUGCGUGGUGUAGCGGUGAAAUGCUUAGAGAUCACGAAGAACCCCGAUUGCGAAGGCAGCUUACUAAACUGUGACUGACAUUGAUGCUCGAAAGUGUGGGUAUCAAACAGGAUUAGAUACCCCAGUAGUC
rnacentral:rRNA from 1 species